CCGAAUUCUUCGACAACAGAGUUUGAUCCUGGCUCAGAACGAACGCUGGCGGCAUGCCUAAUACAUGCCAGUCGAACGAGCCCUUCGGGGUUAGUGGCGCACGGGUGCGUAACGCGUGGGAAUCUGCCCUUGGGUUCGGAAUAACGUCUGGAAACGGACGCUAAUACCGGAUGAUGACGAAAGUCCAAAGAUUUAUCGCCCAGGGAUGAGCCCGCGUAGGAUUAGCUAGUUGGUGAGGUAAAGGCUCACCAAGGCGACGAUCCUUAGCUGGUCUGAGAGGAUGAUCAGCCACACUGGGACUGAGACACGGCCCAGACUCCUACGGGAGGCAGCAGUAGGGAAUAUUGGACAAUGGGGGCAACCCUGAUCCAGCAAUGCCGCGUGAGUGAUGAAGGCCUUAGGGUUGUAAAGCUCUUUUACCCGGGAUGAUAAUGACAGUACCGGGAGAAUAAGCCCCGGCUAACUCCGUGCCAGCAGCCGCGGUAAUACGGAGGGGGCUAGCGUUGUUCGGAAUUACUGGGCGUAAAGCGCACGUAGGCGGCGAUUUAAGUCAGAGGUGAAAGCCCGGGGCUCAACCCCGGAAUAGCCUUUGAGACUGGAUUGCUUGAACAUCGGAGAGGUGAGUGGAAUUCCGAGUGUAGAGGUGAAAUUCGUAGAUAUUCGGAAGAACACCAGUGG
rnacentral:rRNA from 1 species